rnacentral:tRNA from 1 species
CAAAACAUAGCUUAAC